rnacentral:rRNA from 1 species
UCCUGGCUCAGGAUGAACGCUGGCGGCGUGCCUAACACAUGCAAGUCGAACGGAGCUGCUUUGAUGAAGUUUUCGGAUGGAUUUAAAACAGCUUAGUGGCGGACGGGUGAGUAACGCGUGGGUAACCUGCCUCACACUGGGGGAUAACAGUUAGAAAUAGCUGCUAAUACCGCAUAAGCGCACGGUUCCGCAUGGAACAGUGUGAAAAACUCCGGUGGUGUGAGAUGGACCCGCGUCUGAUUAGCCAGUUGGCGGGGUAACGGCCCACCAAAGCGACGAUCAGUAGCCGGCCUGAGAGGGUGAACGGCCACAUUGGGACUGAGACACGGCCCAAACUCCUACGGGAGGCAGCAGUGGGGAAUAUUGCACAAUGGGGGAAACCCUGAUGCAGCGACGCCGCGUGAGUGAAGAAGUAUUUCGGUAUGUAAAGCUCUAUCAGCAGGGAAGAAAGUGACGGUACCUGACUAAGAAGCCCCGGCUAACUACGUGCCAGCAGCCGCGGUAAUACGUAGGGGGCAAGCGUUAUCCGGAUUUACUGGGUGUAAAGGGAGCGUAGACGGCAAGGCAAGUCUGAAGUGAAAGCCCGGUGCUUAACGCCGGGACUGCUUUGGAAACUGUUUGGCUGGAGUGCCGGAGAGGUAAGCGGAAUUCCUAGUGUAGCGGUGAAAUGCGUAGAUAUUAGGAAGAACACCAGUGGCGAAGGCGGCUUACUGGACGGUAACUGACGUUGAGGCUCGAAAGCGUGGGGAGCAAACAGGAUUAGAUACCCUGGUAGUCCACGCCGUAAACG